AUCAGAACAGGAUAACCAGAAGGCCACAGGUUUCCUUGCCUGGAUUUUACAGCAGUAUUGUGAAGUUUCUGUUGAUAUUUUAGGAAAUGGUCAUCUCCAUCUGCCGAGGGAUAGGUGUGCAAAUCAAUGAAAAUUCAAAGAAGUACCCAUGAGGAAAAUUACAGACUUACCAUGAUUUACUCCAUUGGCAUAUGCUCUGAAUGGAACUGGUUAUAUUUGAAUCUGGGAGACAUGGGAAGUGAAUCAAGGGCACAGUGCUGAGGCUCCAUAUCUUUCACCUUCAACCCUCAGAAAGGCUCACAACUUAAUGCCUUUAUAUCCAUUUUGUAUUGAGUACUGAGUCAUGCUUCUGCAGACUUGCAGAACUUCACAGCUUGAAUGUCCAGAUUCGCAGAUUGGAUCUUCCUGUUCUCUCCUUGCUUCAACCAUUAUGAGAAACAGUUGCGCAGGAACACCCAACAUUUUAGCAAUUUCCCUGUCUGCACACUGUUCCAUGAGCUCUGUGGAUCACAGCUGAAGAAAUUCUGAUGCUUCAUAUUUCAGAAGAAAACAUUUCCAUUAUUUUAAUAAUAAAGAUCCUGUUCUUCCCCCUCAA